UACGUAGGGUGCAAGCGUUGUCCGGAAUUAUUGGGCGUAAAGAGCUCGUAGGCGGUCUGUCGCGUCUGCUGUGAAAACUCGGGGCUUAACCCCGGGCCUGCAGUGGGUACGGGCAGACUAGAGUGCGGUAGGGGAGACUGGAAUUCCUGGUGUAGCGGUGAAAUGCGCAGACAUCAGGAGGAACACCGGUGGCGAAGGCGGGUCUCUGGGCCGUAACUGACGCUGAGGAGCGAAAGCAUGGGGAGCGAACAGG
rnacentral:rRNA from 1 species